rnacentral:rRNA from 1 species
CAGCCGCCGCGGUAAUACGGAGGGGGCUAGCGUUGUUCGGAAUUACUGGGCGUAAAGCGCACGUAGGCGGCUUGGUAAGUUGAAGGUGAAAUCUCGGGGCUUAACCCCGAAACUGCCUUCAAUACUGCUAGGCUCGAGGACUGUAGAGGAGAAUGGAAUUCACGGUGUAGCAGUGAAAUGCGUAGAUAUCGUGAGGAAGACCAGUGGCGAAGGCGAUUCUCUGGGCAGUUCCUGACACUGAGGCACGAAGGCCAGGGGAGCAAACGGGAUUAGAUACCCCUGUAGUCCCUGUCUCUUAUAC